rnacentral:rRNA from 1 species
CAACUUGAGAGUUUGAUCCUGGCUCAGAACGAACGCUGGCGGCAGGCCUAACACAUGCAAGUCGAGCGGACCCUUCGGGGUUAGCGGCGGACGGGUUAGUAACGCGUGGGAAUAUGCCCAAAGGUACGGAAUAGCCUCGGGAAACUGAGAGUAAUACCGUAUGUGCCCUUCGGGGGAAAGAUUUAUCGCCUUUGGAUUAGCCCGCGUUGGAUUAGGU